AACGAACGCUGGCGGCAUGCCUAACACAUGCAAGUCGAACGAGACCUUCGGGUCUAGUGGCGCACGGGUGCGUAACACGUGGGAAUUUGCCUCGGGGUAUGGAAUAACUCAGGGAAACUUGAGCUAAUACCAUAUAAUGUCUUCGGACCAAAGAUUUAUCGCCCUGAGAUAAGCCCGCGUAGGAUUAGCUAGUUGGUGAGGUAAAGGCUCACCAAGGCGACGAUCCUUAGCUGGUCUGAGAGGAUGAUCAGCCACACUGGGACUGAGACACGGCCCAGACUCCUACGGGAGGCAGCAGUGGGGAAUAUUGGGACAAUGGGGCGAAAGACCUGAUCCAGCAAUGCCGCGUGAGUGAUGAAGGCCUCGG
rnacentral:rRNA from 1 species